GUAUUGAUUGCGUGUGAUCGCAAAAGUAAGACAUUCUACACAUUUCAUUAAAAGGGUGUCUAUGUAAAAACGUGAAGACCCCCCUCAGAACUAGCCAAAAGGGGUCCCCACGCGGUGAUGCACAAGAGGGGUGAGAUGGAUUAUUAUGUGAGGAAACACACCCGGGCGUGCACGACAUUGAGUCAGCGACAGCCCUUGCAUGCCCCUCACAUUUUGUACGAUAAUGAUCCUUCCGCAGGUUCACCUACGGAAA
rnacentral:misc_RNA from 1 species